rnacentral:rRNA from 1 species
UUGAUCCUGGCUCAGAUUGAACGCUGGCGGCAUGCCUAACACAUGCAAGUCGAACGGCAGCACAGCACGGGGCAACCCGUGUGGGUGGCGAGUGGCGGACGGGUGAGUAAUGCAUGGGAAUCUACCCAGUAGCGGGGGACAACCCGGAGAAAUCCGGGCUAAUACCGCAUACGCCCUAAGGGGGAAAGCGGGGGACCGAAAGGCCUCGCACUAUUGGAUGAGCCCAUGUCGGAUUAGCUAGUUGGUAGGGUAACGGCCUACCAAGGCGACAAUCCGUAGCUGGUCUGAGAGGACGAUCAGCCACACCGGAACUGAGACACGGUCCGGACUCCUACGGGAGGCAGCAGUGGGGAAUAUUGGACAAUGGGGGCAACCCUGAUCCAGCAAUGCCGCGUGUGUGAAGAAGGCCUGCGGGUUGUAAAGCACUUUCAGUGGGGACAAAAAGCGCCGUGUUAAUACCGCGGCUUUUGGAUUUAA